rnacentral:tRNA from 1 species
AUUAUUACUUUGUCAGAUAAAUGUUGUAAAUUUAGAAUUUAUAAAUGUAAUUAAUAUUACAGGUAAUA